rnacentral:tRNA from 1 species
UGGGAUGUAGCUGAGUGGAGGAACACAUGCCUAGAAAGUACCAGGCCUCAAGUAUUACAGUACAGAACAAAAAGCCCUGGGUUCAAUCCCCAGCACCCCAA